UACGAAGGGGGCGAGCGUUGUUCGGAAUUACUGGGCGUAAAGGGCGCGCAGGCGGCUCUGAAAGUCAGAUGUGAAAGCCCCGGGCUUAACCUGGGAAUUGCAUUUGAUACUCUGGAGCUUGAGUACGGGAGAGGAGAGUGGAAUUCCCAGUGUAGAGGUGAAAUUCGUAGAUAUUGGGAAGAACACCGGUGGCGAAGGCGGCUCUCUGGACCGUAACUGACGCUGAGGCGCGAAAGCGUCGGGAGCAAACAGG
rnacentral:rRNA from 1 species